rnacentral:rRNA from 1 species
GUGCCAAGCAGCCGCGGUAAUUCCAGCUCCAAUAGCGUAUAUUAAAGUUGUUGCCGUUAAAAAGCUCGUAGUCGAACUUCGGCGCCUGAUGGCCGGUCCGCCUUCUUGGUGUGUACUUGCUCAUCGGGCGCUUACCUCCUGGUGAACUCUGAUGUCCUUUACUGGGUGUCAGAGCAAACCAGGACGUUUACUUUGAAAAAAUUAGAGUGUUCAAAGCAGGCCUACGCCCGAAUACAUUAGCAUGGAAUAAUAGAAUAGGACGCGCGUUCCCAUUUUGUUGGUUUCUGAGAUCGCCGUAAUGAUUAAUAGGGAUAGUUGGGGGCAUUUGUAUUCCGUCGUCAGAGGUGAAAUUCUUGGAUUGCCGGAAGACAAACUACUGCGAAAGCAUUUGCCAAGGAUGUUUUCAUUGAUCAAGAACGAAGGAAGGGGGAUCGAAAACGAUCAGAUACCGUUGUAGUCUCUUCUGUAAACUAUGCCAAUUGGGGAUUAGCACAGGAUUUUCAAUGACUGUGUUAGCACCCGAAGAGAAAUCUUUAAAUGAGGUUCGGGGGGGAGUAUGGUCGCAAGGCUGAAACUUAAAGGAAUUGACGGAAGGGCACCACCAGGUGUGGAGCCUGCGGCUUAAUUUGACUCAACACGGGGAAACUCACCAGGUCCAGACACAAUAAGGAUUGACAGAUUGAUAGCUCUUUCUUGAUCUUGUGGUUGGUGGUGCAUGGCCGUUCUUAGUUGGUGGAGUGAUUUGUCUGGUUAAUUCCGAUAACGAACGAGACCUUAACCUGCUAAAUAGACCAGUCGACUUUGGUUGACUGCUGUCUUCUUAGAGGGACUAUCAGCGUUUAGCUGAUGGAAGUUUGAGCAAUUACAGGUCUGUGAUGCCCAA